GAUGAAGAACGUAGCGAAAUGCGAUAAGUAGUGUGAAUUGCAGAAUUCAGUGAAUCAUCGAAUCUUUGAACGCACAUUGCGCCCUUUGGUAUUCCUUAGGGCAUGCCUGUUCGAGCGUCAUUUAAACCUUCAAGCUCAGCUUGGUGUUGGGUGACUGUCCGCUUCACCGCGGACUCGCCUCAAAAUUAUUGGCGGCCGGUACAUUGGCUUCGAGCGCAGCAGAAACGCGAACUCGGGCCCGUCGUAUUGGCUCCCAGAAGCUAUCUUCACAAUUUUGACCUCGGAUCAGGUAGGGAUACCCGCUGAACUUAAGUAUAUCAAUAAGCGGAGGA
rnacentral:misc_RNA from 1 species